rnacentral:rRNA from 1 species
GACAAACCGAGCGAACGUUGUUCGGAAUCACUGGGCUUAAAGGGCGCGUAGGCGGGCUGCCGCGUCCGGGGUGAAAUCCCACGGCUCAACCGUGGAACGGCCCCGGGUACGGGCGGCCUCGAGGGGGGUAGGGGCGUGCGGAACUGUGGGUGGAGCGGUGAAAUGCGUUGAGAUCCACAGGAACUCCGGUGGCGAAGGCGGCACGCUGGACCCCCACUGACGCUGGGGCGCGAAAGCCAGGGGAGCGAACGGG